rnacentral:SRP_RNA from 1 species
GCCGGGCGAGGUGGUGGGCGCCUGUAGUCCCAGCUACUCAGGAGGCUGAGGCAGGAGAAUGGCGUGAGCCUGGGAGGCGGAGCUUGCGGUGAGCUGAGNGCGCGAUCUCAGCUCACUGCAAGCUCCGCCUCCCGGGUUCACGCCAUUCUCCUGCCUCAG